GGCCUCCCAAUUCUUACCACAGGCUAUAUUCUUUACACUGACUGUAUAGAAAGAGGAGGUACAGUAAAUGCACCCUAUAUACAUCUCAACACAGGCCCUUUGCCUGGUCUGUAUUGCGAACUGGAGGACAAAA